AGAGAGAGACAUGCGCGCAUAUCAAUAAGCGGAGGAAAAGAAACUAACAAGGAUUCCCCUAGUAACGGCGAGUGAAGCGGGAAGAGCUCAAAUUUGAAAUCUUAAAGGGUUUCCCUUUACGAAUUGUAGUUUAAAGAAGUGUUUUCUGUUGAGGUUUUGGUAAAAGUUCUUUGGAAUAGGACAUCAUAGAGGGUGAGAAUCCCGUAUUUGACCUUUACUUUCAACUUUGUGAUACACUUUCAAAGAGUCGGAUUGUUUGGGAAUGCAGUCCAAAAUGGGUGGUAAAUUUCAUCUAAAGCUAAAUAUUGGCGAGAGACCGAUAGCGAACAAGUACCGUGAGGGAAAGAUGAAAAGAACUUUGAAAAGAGAGUUAAACAGUACGUGAAAUUGUCAAAAGGGAAGCGUUUGACACCAGUGUUGUUUUUCUGAAAAUCAAUUAAAGAACUGUUUAUGCUAAGCUGUUUAGACUUUAUCAGCUAACUGUUUAGUUUUGAGCUUUUCUUUAAUGCACUUUUCAGUUAACAAGUCAACAUCAAUUUCUUUUGCUGUAAAAAAGCUUGAGGAAGGUGGCUUGAGAUUCGUCUUAAGUGUUUAUAGCCUCUUGCCUAUGCAGUCGGAGAGAUUCGAGGUCUGCAGCGUAGAUCCUUCGGGGCUAAAUGCAUUUGUGCUAAGUUAUAGCAUUUUAUAGACAACUUGUUGACUAUGAUUUGUCUUGUAGCUUACUCGCUUAUGUUAUUUUACCUACGCUUAGGAUGUUGACGCAUGAGAUAUACGC
rnacentral:rRNA from 1 species